rnacentral:lncRNA from 1 species
UAACCAGUUAGGUUGAGCCCAUGUUAACAUCCCUGCUUGUGGUGUGUCGGAGGUGAAUUCGGCUCUUUGGGUCGUGGUUGGAUUAGAUCUAGGUUUUCACCUUUCUAGAUCUGCUCUCGUUACGGCGGUGGGAGCGCGUGACCGAGAUUGGGCUUCUCCUCUCUCCGGAUCUGGUGGGUUGACGUCAAUCUUCAGGCUGGGUAGGAGUCUUCCGGCGUCGUGGGUAGCUUCGUCUGCUCAGUGUCGAGCAGCGUAUGUCUUCCUCUCUGUUUGCGGUUUAGUUGGCCUUCAGUGUGUCUCCGGAGGCGCGUCCUCAGUUGGUGAUGGUUGCUGUGUGGUAACGUUAGCUACUGUGCUGUUCGUGAGGCGCUGCCGGGUUCGGAUUCAAGGCGGGCCCGUCUAUGACCUGCUCUUUUGACUCCUUCGAUGGUUGUUUCAGCUUCGCUCUCUCGGUAUGCUGUCUGCUUUGAUUGUUCAUGGUGGUUUUCUUCCUCUCCGGCUCAUCGUAGUUACACUUUGGUUCUCCCACGGUGGUGUAGCUCGGAUGAGGCUUAUUGGAGCUAGGGCUGGUUUUCAGUGUUAGCGCGAGUUGGCGAUUCUUGAGUUCCUAUUGGUCAUGGGAAGGAUGGUUUCGUCGAGGGAGGCUCGUGCAAGGAUAUGUCAUCCCAGCUCCUUUGGUUCGAGCCACUUUGGCUCGCAAAGGAGGGUGUUUCCUUGGUCUAAUUUGUAGGAUAGGAAGAACGACAUCGGUAUGUGGCUCUCACCAAGCCCGCUUUCUGCUGUGGCUCGCAUUAGUUUCUGAAGUCGAGUAAAUAAAUGUUGACUUCUUGAGGUUUGGGUGGGACUAACCUGAUGGCGCUCUUGGAGCUCUCGGCUAGAGUAGAGGUGUCUGGCUUCGAACUUCAGUGUUUCCUAUUGCCGGUGGUAGUUGGGAGGCUUUGGUUUCCUUUGACUCAGUUUACAAAGCUGUCCGGAGAUGGUAUCAAUUAUUUGGAGUAGCACUACGGGGAAGCCAAAAUUACCAAAGCGUGGUCUCAUGUAUUAUAAAAGGUAUCAUCAACAUUUGGCAAUGUUCUAUUGUGGUCAAGCGACUACAACUUGUAGUCUUCUGUUAAAAUGUGUUUUCAUUGUCCCAAAAAUCUUAGUUGUUGCUUAUUCUUUUCUUUCCAUGUUGUUUAGUUUAAUUUCUCUGCUACUUAUGUCUGUGUAAUUUCUGUCAAAAACUCUGAAAAUUGGUAUAAAUCUUAACAUUUUUAUCAAAAAC